rnacentral:siRNA from 1 species
GGGUCCUUAGCUCAGUGGU